UGGGGAAUAUUGGACAAUGGGGGCAACCCUGAUCCAGCAAUGCCGCGUGUGUGAAGAGGGUCUUCGGAUUGUAAAGCACUUUCGACGGGGACGAUGAUGACGGUACCCGUAGAAGAAGCCCCGGCUAACUUCGUGCCAGCAGCCGCGGUAAUACGAAGGGGGCUAGCGUUGCUCGGAAUGACUGGGCGUAAAGGGCGUGUAGGCGGUUUACACAGUCAGAUGUGAAAUCCCCGGGCUUAACCUGGGAGCUGCAUUUGAUACGUGUAGACUAGAGUGUGAGAGAGGGUUGUGGAAUUCCCAGUGUAGAGGUGAAAUUCGUAGAUAUUGGGAAGAACACCGGUGGCGAAGGCGGCAACCUGGCUCAUGGCUGACGCUGAGGCGCGAAAGCGUGGGGAGCAAACAGGAUUAGAUACCCUGGUAGUCCACGCUGUAAACGAUGUGUGCUAGAUGUUGGGUAACUUUGUUAUUCAGUGUCGCAGUUAACGCGUUAAAGCACACCGCCUGGGGAGUAC
rnacentral:rRNA from 1 species